GAUGAACGCUGGCGGCGUGCUUAACACAUGCAAGUCGAACGAAGCACUUUAUUUGAUUUCCUUCGGGACUGAUUAUUUUGUGACUGAGUGGCGGACGGGUGAGUAACGCGUGGGUAACCUGCCUUGUACAGGGGGAUAACAGUUGGAAACGGCUGCUAAUACCGCAUAAGCGCACAGCAUCGCAUGCUGCAGUGUGAAAAACUCGGGUGGUAUAAGAUGUACCCGCGUUGGAUUAGCUAGUUGGUGAGGUAACGGCCCACCAAGGCGACGAUCCAUAGCCGAGAUGUGAGGCUGACCGGCGACACUUGGACUGAGACACGGCACAAAAUCCUACGGGAGGGAGGAGUGGGGAAUAUAGCACAAUGGGCGAAAGCAUGAUGCAGCGACGCCGCGUGAGCGAAGAAGUAUUUCGGUAUGUAAAGCUCUAUCAGCAGGGAAGAUAAUGACGGUACCUGACUAAGAAGCACCGGCUAAAUACGUG
rnacentral:rRNA from 1 species